rnacentral:lncRNA from 1 species
CACCCUCUUUAGAGUUAAGUAGGGAGUUUAUUUGUCUUGUCAAAUGCAGAAGUAUAAGUUUAGGGUUGCUCUUAGAAGUUAACAACGUUUAAGUUUGGGGUUGGGGUACUAGAAAAGGCUAGAAAAAGAAAAUGGUCAAAAUAAAGAAAAAGAAAAGGAGAAAUAAAGAGAAUAAGAAGUAAAAUGACUUUUUUCAAAAA